rnacentral:rRNA from 1 species
UACGUAGGGAGCAAGCGUUGUUCGGAAUCAUUGGGCGUAAAGCGCGCGUAGGUGGCCUCGUAAGUCCGCUGUGAAAGUCAAAGGCUCAACCUUUGAAAGCCGGUGGAUACUGUGAGGCUAGAGUACGGAAGAGGCGAGUGGAAUUCCUGGUGUAGCGGUGGAAUGCGCAGAUAUCAGGAGGAACACCAAUAGCGAAGGCAGCUCGCUGGGACGUAACUGACACUGAGGCGCGAAAGCGUGGGGAGCGAACAGG